AGCUCUGCGGAGUGGCGGUGUCAUAGCCAAUGAGGUUUAUCUUAGGCACGAUUAUUGUUAAUUGACAACUUUGCCCUAUAAAUCCUCUUGAGGUUGGCUUUGGCAGAAAAUUUAGACACUCCAGUACUGGA
rnacentral:snRNA from 1 species